UAGAGUUUGAUCCUGGCUCAGAUGAACGCUGGCGGCGUGCUUAACACAUGCAAGUCGAACGGUAACAGGAAGCAGCUUGCUUCUUUGCUGACGAGUGGCGGACGGGUGAGUAAUGUCUGGGAAACUGCCUGAUGGAGGGGGAUAACUACUGGAAACGGUAGCUAAUACCGCAUAACGUCGCAAGACCAAAGAGGGGGACCUUCGGGCCUCUUGCCAUCGGAUGUGCCCAGAUGGGAUUAGCUAGUAGGUGGGGUAACGGCUCACCUAGGCGACGAUCCCUAGCUGGUCUGAGAGGAUGACCAGCCACACUGGAACUGAGACACGGUCCAGACUCCUACGGGAGGCAGCAGUGGGGAAUAUUGCACAAUGGGCGCAAGCCUGAUGCAGCCAUGCCGCGUGUAUGAAGAAGGCCUUCGGGUUGUAAAGUACUUUCAGCGGGGAGGAAGGGAGUAAAGUUAAUACCUUUGCUCAUUGACGUUACCCGCAGAAGAAGCACCGGCUAACUCCGUGCCAGCAGCCGCGGUAAUACGGAGGGUGCAAGCGUUAAUCGGAAUUACUGGGCGUAAAGCGCACGCAGGCGGUUUGUUAAGUCAGAUGUGAAAUCCCCGGGCUCAACCUGGGAACUGCAUCUGAUACUGGCAAGCUUGAGUCUCGUAGAGGGGGGUAGAAUUCCAGGUGUAGCGGUGAAAUGCGUAGAGAUCUGGAGGAAUACCGGUGGCGAAGGCGGCCCCCUGGACGAAGACUGACGCUCAGGUGCGAAAGCGUGGGGAGCAAAAAGGAUUAGAUUCCCUGGUAGUCCACGCCGUAAACCCCUAAAAGGUGGAGGUUGUGCCCUUGAGGCGUGGCUUCCGGAGCUAACGCGUUAAGUCGACCGCCCUGGAAG
rnacentral:rRNA from 1 species